rnacentral:pre_miRNA from 1 species
UGAUGGUGAUGAUGCCCGUGCUCCUCAUGAUCAUGGUCAUCGUGAUCAUGGUCGUGAUGAUGCUCAUGAUCAUGAUCCUCAUGGUCAUGAUCG